rnacentral:rRNA from 1 species
AACUAAAAUGACUCUCGGCAACGGAUAUCUCGGCUCUUGCAUCGAUGAAGAACGUAGCGAAAUGCGAUACUUGGUGUGAAUUGCAGAAUCCCGUGAACCAUCGAGUCUUUGAACGCAAGUUGCGCCCGAAGCCAUUAGGCCGAGGGCACGUCUGCCUGGGUGUCACAC